rnacentral:rRNA from 1 species
UACGAAGGGGGCUAGCGUUGCUCGGAAUCACUGGGCGUAAAGGGUGCGUAGGCGGGUCUUAAGUCAGGGUGAAAUCCUGGAGCUCAACUCCAGAACUGCCUUUGAUACUGAAGAUCUUGAGUUCGGGAGAGGUGAGUGGAACUGCGAGUGUAGAGGUGAAAUUCGUAGAUAUUACGCAAGAACACCAGUGGCGAAGGCGGCUCACUGGCCCGAUACUGACGCUGAUGCACGAAAGCGUGGGGAGCAAACAGG